rnacentral:rRNA from 1 species
CCUACGGGGCGCAGCAGUGGGGAAUAUUGGACAAUGGGCGAAAGCCUGAUCCAGCCAUGCCGCGUGUGUGAAGAAGGCCUUCGGGUUGUAAAGCACUUUCAGUGGGGAAGAAAGCCUUGGGGCUAAUACCCUCGAGGAAGGACAUCACCCACAGAAGAAGCACCGGCUAACUCCGUGCCAGCAGCCGCGGUAAUACGGAGGGUGCGAGCGUUAAUCGGAAUUACUGGGCGUAAAGCGCGCGUAGGCGGUCUGAUAAGCCGGUUGUGAAAGCCCCGGGCUCAACCUGGGAACGGCAUCCGGAACUGUCAGGCUAGAGUGCAGGAGAGGAAGGUAGAAUUCCCGGUGUAGCGGUGAGAUGCGUAGAGAUCGGGAGGAAUACCAGUGGCGAAGGCGGCCUUCUGGACUGACACUGACGCUGAGGUGCGAAAGCGUGGGUAGCAAACAGGAUUAGAUACCCGAGUAGUC